rnacentral:lncRNA from 1 species
AUGUGGGUGGCGGGGCCCAAGCGCCUGGGCCAUCUUCCGCUGCCUCUCUGGUGCCCCAGCAGGGAGCUGGAUCAGCGGCAGAGCCGCCAGGACUCAACCCUGCGCUCCAAUUCGGACGCCGGUGUCACUGGCCGCGGCACAGCCCCAGCGCCCCUGUCAGGCACAGAGAGAGUCCCCACGUGCUGCCGCAGUGCGCCCAGAUGCUGUAGCCCAUACAGGUCCACCCAGAGAGGGGUGCGCGAGGCUCCGGGGGGUCAGCCAGGGGGACGCGGCCCUCAUCGGCGACAGCCUCAGGAGCCGUGUGGUUUGCAGGGCUGGUGUGGAAGGGCAGUGCCCUGGGGCUGCGAGGGUCCAGCCAAUAACCUGCUCCCCACCCAGAGGCUGGGACCUUGGGCGAGGCCCCGAGCCUGCGGAGCCUCGCUGUUCCCAUCCACGGAAUGGGCUGCCGGGGGCUGGAGGUGCUUCUGCUCUGCUCCACCCUGGAGACACAGGCGAUGCCGACCCUACCUGCGGGGGACACAGCCUGGCCCCUUUCAGAGGUGCCGGCCCGUGGGCCACUAUGGUCCACAGACCCGCGUGGUGAGGCCCUGGAGGCGUGGCCAGGCACAGCCCCAGAGCCGAGACCCCGGGGCCCAGGGAGACAGUCAUGGGGCGUCAGACAUGUGCAGUGUCCGGGGUAGAAAACACCGUUGGCAAAUAACCACCCGGGACAGUUCCUCUCUGCCUGCUCAGGCAGCGACAAGGGCACAGUCAGCCCCAGGCUGGGCUCACUCGUCCCCACCUCAGGGCCUUUGCACUGGUGGUCUCCCUGCCCGCUCCCAGGAGUCGGGGCCUUGUCACUCCCCCUGCAGUGCCCCCAGCUCAGGGCCAGCACAUAACAGGUUCUCAAUAAACACCCCCUGGACACCCACAGCUCCUUUGCGGCUUCUCACUCCCCUGGGCCCACAGCUGGGAGCUCGCUUUACAGACGAGAUAAACGGCGGGGGAGGGGGGGGCGAGAGGGAGCAGCCUCACCUGUAA